UGGGGAAUAUUGGGGCAAUGGGGCGAAAGCCUGACCCAGCAACGCCGCGUGAAGGAAGAAGGUCUUCGGAUUGUAAACUUCUUUUAUGAGGGACGAAGGACGUGACGGUACCUCGUGAAUAAGCCACGGCUAACUACGUGCCAGCAGCCGCGGUAAUACGUAGGUGGCGAGCGUUAUCCGGAUUUAUUGGGUUUAAAGGGUGCGUAGGCGGACUUUCAAGUCAGCGGUAAAAUUUCCGGGCUUAACCUGGUUGUGCCGUUGAAACUGAGAGACUGGAGUGCGCUUGAGGUAGGCGGAAUGCGUUGUGUAGCGGUGAAAUGCAUAGAUAUGACGCAGAACUCCGAUUGCGAAGGCAGCUUACCAAAUCGCUACUGACGCUGAGGCACGAAAGCGUGGGGAUCGAACAGGAUUAGAUACCCUGGUAGU
rnacentral:rRNA from 1 species